rnacentral:lncRNA from 1 species
CAGAAGUCAGCCAGGCUGCGGCUGCGCAGGGCGCAUCGCACAAUCCAGAUUUGUUUCCCUUCCACCCCCAAUCCCGGGUGAAGUGCCCAGGACCUCGAUUCUUAUCCACAGUCAUCAGAAACAUCUUGCUUUAGCAUGAAAAGUCAUUCUCUCCCCAAAGGCUGGAACACUCCUACCCCCAAUGACAAGC